GACGAACGCUGGCGGCGUGCUUAACACAUGCAAGUCGAACGGUAAGGCCCUUUCGGGGGUACACGAGUGGCGAACGGGUGAGUAACACGUGGGUGAUCUGCCCUGCACUUUGGGAUAAGCCUGGGAAACUGGGUCUAAUACCGGAUAGGACUACGCGAUGCAUGUCGUGUGGUGGAAAGCUUUUGCGGUGUGGGAUGGGCCCGCGGCCUAUCAGCUUGUUGGUGGGGUGAUGGCCUACCAAGGCGACGACGGGUAGCCGGCCUGAGAGGGUGUCCGGCCAACAUGGGAAUGAGAUACGGGCCAGACUCCUAAGGGAGGCAGAAGGGGGGAAUAUUGCAAAAUGGGCGGAAGCCUGAUGGAGGGACGCCGCGGGGGGGAUGACGGCCUUCGGGUUGUAAACCCCUUUCAGCACAGACGAAGCGUAAGUGACGGUAUGUGCAGAAGAAGCACCGGCCAACUACGUG
rnacentral:rRNA from 1 species